rnacentral:rRNA from 1 species
AUUGAACGCUGGCGGCAUGCCUUACACAUGCAAGUCGAACGGCAGCAUGAUCUAGCUUGCUAGAUUGAUGGCGAGUGGCGAACGGGUGAGUAAUACAUCGGAACGUGCCCUGUAGUGGGGGAUAACUAGUCGAAAGAUUAGCUAAUACCGCAUACGACCUGAGGGUGAGAGUGGGGGACCGCAAGGCCUCAUGCUAUAGGAGCGGCCGAUGUCUGAUUAGCUAGUUGGUGAGGUAAAGGCUCACCAAGGCGACGAUCAGUAGCUGGUCUGAGGGGACGAUGAGCCACACUGGGACUGAGACACGGCCCAGACUCCUACGGGAGGCAGCAGUGGGGAAUUUUGGACAAUGGGGGCAACCCUGAUCCAGCAAUGCCGCGUGUGUGAAGAAGGCCUUCGGGUUGUAAAGCACUUUUGUACGGAAAGAAAUCGCACUUACUAAUAUUAGGUGUGGAUGACGGUACCGGAAGAAUAAGGACCGGCUAACUACGUGCCAGCCGCCGCCGUAAUAC